GACGAACGCUGGCGGCGUGCCUAAUACAUGCAAGUCGAACGCAGUGGGGACGGGUGAGUAACACGUGGGUAACCUCCCAUCAGAGGGGAUAACACUUGGAAACAGGGGCUAAACCGAUACUGAUGGAUGGACUCGCUGUGAAUUAGCUAGUUGGUGAGGUAACGGCUCACCAAGGCCGCGAUGCCUAGCCGGCUCGGGAGGGUGAUCGGCCACACUGGGACUGAGACACGGCCCAGACUCCUACGGGGGGCAGGAGUAGGGAAACUUCGGAAAUGGACGAAAGGCUGACCGAGCAACGCCGCGGGAGUGAAGGAGGUUUUCGGAUCUGAAAACUCUGUUGUUAGAGGAGCGGUAUCUAACCAGAAAGCCACGGCUAACUACGUGCCAGCAGCCGCGGUAAUAC
rnacentral:rRNA from 1 species